GUGUGGGCACAUGAUGUCCCCUCACUGUGUCUUUCGCACAGUAAUAUGUGGCCGUGUCCUCAGUCUUCAGGCUGUUCAUCUGCAGAUACAGCGUGUUCUUGGCGUUGUCUCUGGAGAUGGUGAAUCGGCCCUUCACGGAGUCUGCGUAGGACUGUCUAUA